rnacentral:snoRNA from 11 species
CUGUAAGGGGAAUGAUGUAUUAUUAUCGAGCUCUCAAGAUGCUGGCCUAUCUCGAUUCUGCAUCAGAAAAGGACAUUGAAG